CGAAAGCCUGACGGAGCAAUACCGCGUGAGGGAGGAAGGCUCUUGGGUCGUAAACCUCUUUUCUCAGGGAAGAACACAAUGACGGUACCUGAGGAAUAAGCAUCGGCUAACUCCGUGCCAGCAGCCGCGGUAAUACGGAGGAUGCAAGCGUUAUCCGGAAUGAUUGGGCGUAAAGGGUCCGCAGGUGGCAUUGUAAGUCUGCUGUUAAAGAGUUUGGCUCAACCAAAUAAGAGCAGUGGAAACUACAAAGCUAGAGUAUGGUCGGGGCAGAGGGAAUUCCUGGUGUAGCGGUGAAAUGCGUAGAUAUCAGGAAGAACACCGGUGGCGAAGGCGCUCUGCUAGGCCAAAACUGACACUGAGGGACGAAAGCUAGGGGAGCG
rnacentral:rRNA from 1 species